rnacentral:rRNA from 1 species
ACGAGGGUUACACUGUCUCCUCUCCCUAAUCAGUGAACCUGAUCUCCCCGUGAAGAAGCGGGAAUCACUCUAUAAGACGAGAAGACCCCAUGGAGCUUUAAACUUAACUGCAACCCAAUAACAUAAACCCCCAAAAUCAAUAAAGUUAUGCAUGUUAGUUUUAGGUUGGGGUGACCGAGGAGUAAAAAUCAACCUCCAUGACGAAAAGAACUAAAUCUUUACCCAAGAAAUACAUUUCUAAGGAUUAGAAUACUAACGAAUAUGACCCGAUAAUCGAUCAACGAACCAAGUUACCCUGGGGAUAACAGCGCAAUCUACUUCGAGAGCUCAUAUCGACAAGUAGGCUUACGACCUCGAUGUUGGAUCAGGGUAUCCCAGUGGUGCAGUCGCUACUAAAGGUUCGUUUGUUCAACGAUUAAAACCCUACGUGAUC